rfam:Candidatus Taylorbacteria bacterium RIFCSPLOWO2_01_FTLL_48_100 rifcsplowo2_01_scaffold_16309, whole genome shotgun sequence.
UGCGGGAUCGUCUAAUGGUAGGACGCGACCCUCUGAAGGUCGUUAUCUUGGUUCGAGUCCAAGUCCCGCAG